rnacentral:rRNA from 1 species
UACGUAGGGUGCAAGCGUUGUCCGGAAUUAUUGGGCGUAAAGAGCGUGUAGGCGGCCCGAUUAGUCCGCUGUGAAAGUCCAGGGCUCAACCCUGGAAUGCCGGUGGAUACUGUCGGGCUAGAGUCCGGAAGGGGCGAGUGGAAUUCCUGGUGUAGCGGUGAAAUGCGCAGAUAUCGGGAGGAACACCGGUGGCGAAGGCGGUUCUCUGGGCCUUACCUGACGCUGAGGAGCGAAAGCGUGGGGAGCGAACAGG